GAUUUUCCUUUCUUCCUACCGAGACUAGCACAAGCAGUUGAGGCUGAGUUGGAGAUAUCGUUGGCUGCUACAAAGCCUACACUGAGUGAGUUUGGUUUUGUAGGGUCGAACAGACUCUCUCCAUUCACAGCAGCUAUCCAUGGCUCACUCUCUCUCAUCAUUCUCCUCCUUCUCUCUCCACCCAAUCCCUCCUCCCAAACGCGCCGCCCCAUUCCACUCCAUCUCCUCCCUCAGAGCCUCCAUUGACAACAAGGAACCCACCACCACAAACUCCAAACCCAGCUCAUGGGUCAGCCCAAAUUGGCUCACUUCGCUCACUCGCUCCCUCACCAUUUCCAAAAACGACGACUCCGGCAUCCCCAUCGCCAGCGCUCAGCUCGAGGACGUGUCGGAGCUUCUGGGUGGCGCUCUGUUUCUGCCGCUGUUCAAAUGGAUGAACGAGUAUGGUCCGAUUUACCGGCUCGCCGCCGGGCCGAGAAAUUUCCUUGUGGUCAGUGACCCUGCCAUUGCUAAGCACGUGCUUAGGAAUUACGGGAAGUACGCGAAGGGACUUGUUGCUGAAGUCUCUGAGUUUUUGUUCGGCUCUGGUUUUGCAAUCGCUGAAGGCCCGCUUUGGACGGCGAGGCGCAGGGCUGUGGUGCCAUCUCUUCAUAAGAAAUACUUGUCCGUGAUAGUAGAUCGAGUAUUUUGCAAAUGUGCUGAGAGAUUAGUGGAGAAGCUACAACGUGAUGCACUUAAUGGAACUGCUGUAAACAUGGAGGACAGAUUUUCUCAGUUAACUCUUGAUGUUAUAGGCCUGUCUUUGUUCAACUACAAUUUCGAUUCACUAAAUGCUUAUAGCCCGGUUAUUGAGUCUGUUUACACUGCAUUGAAAGAGGCUGAGCUUCGCUCUACUGAUAUAUUACCAUAUUGGAAGGUUGAUGUUUUGCGGAAGAUAAUCCCAAGACAAAUAAAAGCUGAAAAAGCAGUUCAAGUGAUCAGGAGUUCUGUUGAAGAACUUAUUGCUAAGUGCAAAGAAAUUGUGGAAGCUGAGGGCGAAAGAAUUGAUGAGGAAGAAUAUAUAAAUGACACUGAUCCAAGCAUCCUUCGCUUUUUGCUUGCAAGUAGAGAAGAGGUAUCAAGUGAGCAAUUGCGGGAUGAUCUUUUGUCUAUGUUGGUUGCUGGACAUGAGACAACUGGUUCAGUGUUGACUUGGACGCUAUAUCUUCUAAGUAAGAAUCCCCACACCUUGGUGAAAGCACAAGAAGAAGUUGAUAAAGUUUUACGAGGACAGCGUCCAUCCUAUGAUGACAUAAAGAACCUUAAGUACUUGACACGCUGCAUAAUGGAAUCAUUGCGUCUCUUCCCACAUCCUCCUGUUUUGAUAAGAAGAGCUCAAGUAGCUGACGUGCUCCCGGGAAAUUACAAAGUCAAUGCUGGUCAAGAUAUUAUGAUAUCAGUAUACAAUAUCCAUCGUUCUUCAAAGGUGUGGGAGAGAGCAGAAGAGUUUGUACCUGAAAGAUUUGAUCUUGAAGGCUCCGUACCUAAUGAAACAAACACAGAUUUCAGGUUCAUUCCAUUCAGCGGAGGGCCACGGAAGUGUGUUGGUGAUCAAUUUGCUCUGCUGGAAGCGACUGUUGCUCUCACAAUCUUUAUUCAGAACCUGAACUUUGAGCUGGUUCCGGAUCAGAAAAUUAGCAUGACAACCGGAGCAACAAUUCACACCACAAAUGGUUUGUACAUGAAAUUAAGCCAACGACAGGCAAAAUCUGCAUUCGCUGCAUCAUCCUCGUCUUCGUCCGCCUCUUAGCAUUCAGUUAAUUAAACAAUGCAUGUAAGCGGUGGGAUAAUCCCAGUGUCCCUUGGAAGUGUCAACAGUCUGUACAAGUAUUUUACCGGAACAAAGAGAAAUGGAAUUAGAUAUCAUUGCCUCCUUCAGGUAGUCCAAAAAUGGUAGCAAUAUCUGCAGCUUUUAUCGCCAAACGCUUACCGCCUAUAUCAAAGCAAUUAAGAUCCUUAUUGUAUAUCUCUAGUAUAUCAAUAACAUCGUAGUCGUUCUUCCAUGCAUCACCUGUCUCAAUGCCUUCUUUGUAUGUCCUGACGCCCCAAAAUGGUGUCCUCUCCAUAAGUAGUUCUAGGUGGAUAGGUUUGAUAUGAUUUUGAAAUUUUGGUAGGCUUCUGCCAAGGUCCCCAUGUUAGACCUGUAUUGUGGGAAUGAAUAUUCACUCCUCUUCCGUUCCAUAAUUCUUGUAACUUGUGGAUUCAUAUAAGAUGGAAACUCCUCAGGGUUUACAAAAUGAUUGAAAUGCAUCAGGUAUUACAACAA